CCUACGGGAGGCAGCAGUGAGGAAUAUUGGUCAAUGGACGCAAGUCUGAACCAGCCAUGCCGCGUGCAGGAAGACGGCUCUAUGAGUUGUAAACUGCUUUUGUACGAGGGUAAACGCAGAUACGCGUGUCUGUCUGAAAGUAUCGUACGAAUAAGGAUCGGCUAACUCCGUGCCAGCAGCCGCGGUAAUACGGAGGAUUCAAGCGUUAUCCGGAUUUAUUGGGUUUAAAGGGGGCGUAGGCGGGCGGAUAAGUUAGAGGUGAAAUCCCGAGGCCCAACUUCGGAAUUGCCUCUGAUACUGUGGGGCUAGAGAGUAGGAGCGGUAGGCGGAAUGUGUGGUGUAGCGGUGAAAUGCUUAGAGAUCACGCAGAACACCGAUUGCGAAGGCAGCUUACCAGGCUACUUCUGACGUUGAGGCACGAAAGCGUGGGGAGCAAACAGGAUUAGAUACCCUUGUAGUC
rnacentral:rRNA from 1 species